GUGCUCUCUUCAGCAGCACAUAUACUAAAAUUGGAAUGAUACAGAGGUUAGCAUGACCCCUGUGCAAGAAUGACACACAAAUUCAUGAAGCAUUUCAUAUAAAG
ensembl:snRNA U6 U6 spliceosomal RNA